CAAUAGCGUAUAUUAAAGUUGUUGCAGUUAAAAAGCUCGUAGUUGGAUUUCGGGGUGGCCUGGCUGGUCCGCCGCAAGGUGAGUACUGGUCAGCCGCCCUUCCUCUCGAAAGCCCCGACUGCUCUUUACUGCAGUGGUCGGGUAGUUCGGGACGUUUACUUUGAAAAAAUUAGAGUGUUCAAGGCAGGCUAUCGCCUGAAUACAUUAGCAUGGAAUAAUGGAAGAGGACCUCGGUCCUAUUUUGUUGGUUUCUAGGGCCGAAGUAAUGAUUAAGAGGGACAGUUGGGGGCAUUCGUAUUUAAUUGUCAGAGGUGAAAUUCUCGGAUUUAUGAAAGACGAACUAGUGCGAAAGCAUUUGCCAAGGAUGUUUUCAUUAA
rnacentral:rRNA from 1 species